rnacentral:rRNA from 1 species
UACGUAGGUGGCGAGCGUUGUCCGGAUUUACUGGGCGUAAAGGGAGCGUAGGCGGACUUUUAAGUGAGAUGUGAAAUACUCGGGCUCAACUUGAGUGCUGCAUUUCAAACUGGAAGUCUAGAGUGCAGGAGAGGAGAAUGGAAUUCCUAGUGUAGCGGUGAAAUGCGUAGAGAUUAGGAAGAACACCAGUGGCGAAGACGAUUCUCUGGACUGUAACUGACGCUGAGGCUCGAAAGCGUGGGGAGCAAACAGG